rnacentral:rRNA from 1 species
AACGAACGCUGGCGGCGUGCCUAACACAUGCAAGUCGAGCGGGAAAGUUCCCUUCGGGGAGCGAGUACAGCGGCGAACGGGUGAGUAACACGUAGGCAACCUACCCCGGAGACCGGGAUAACCUGUCGAAAGGCGGGCUAAUACCGGAUAAGACCACGAGGGCCUCGGCCCUUGAGGUAAAAGGUGGCCUCUGCUUGCAAGCUAUCACUCCAGGAUGGGCCUGCGCGCCAUUAGCUAGUUGGNGAGGUAACGGCUCACCAAGGCGAAGAUGGCUAGCUGGUCUGAGAGGAUGGCCAGCCACACUGGGACUGAGAUACGGCCCAGACUCCUACGGGAGGCAGC